UUAUAACCCAAUUAGCUAUAGGUUAGGUAAGCAGAAGCUAAUUAGUGUUACUUUUAUUAUUAUUAUAUAAAUCGCCAUUUACACAUUUAUAACACUGAGGCAAAUGAUAACAGUAAACUAAGACUGUAUAAUACACUCGAGAAGAAAAAAAAAACAGAUUUCUCACGAAAAAUACAUUAAAAGUGUGGGUCAGCGCAUGCGUAGUGCUGUUAGGUAGCACACAUCGGCGAGUAGCACAGUUGGACAGAACGCCGGUAAACCCCGAAAACACGCGGUAAAGUGGUAACUCUCUUCUCUACAGACUCUGUGGUAUUAUUAUAUAUCUGGAUCCGCACAGAACAGCAAAAACAAGCGUCUUUAUUUCUGAUUUCUGGAGUAAAACCUCGAGUUCCGGGCUGAUAAACCCGCCGGCCGGUCCUGCAGGAGUUUAUAAUGGUCUGACUUCUGAUAAAAGCCGGUGCCUAUGUGGUGCGGAAGAUCUCUGCUGCUGUCAGAGAUGGAGAGCAGAAGGAACAGCCUCAGCUCCCAGCAUGCACCCUGGCAUCAGGCAAUAAGAAGAAGCACCAAAGUGAAAAACCUUUAAUGGCUGAGGCAGUAUCGACUCCAUCUUAUGAAGAUGCUGCAUCGUCCAUGCCAGCUACUACUGACACCUCGCUGCAGAAAUGCGGCUCAUGACUGAUACAGUAGAUAAAUCAUAUCUCUCUCUUUUCUCUUUUCUCUCUCUCUCUCUUUUCUCUCUCUCAUACGCACUGUGCUGUAGAUUAUGAAGGUCUGAUCAUCAACCUCUAACUCUGGGACUGUUCAGAUCUGAUUUUGUCCUACAGCUGCGAUAAGUUACCUCAUUAUACACUGAAUAUGAAUUGUAUUCAUGUUAAUGGAAAUGUCAUGACAUGAAAUAAAAUGACAAUACCUC
rnacentral:lncRNA from 1 species